UUUUUUGGAAUAAGCAUCAAGAAAAUGAAGGGAGGGCUUCCCCGAUGGCGCAGUGGUUUAGAAUCUGCCUGCUAAUGCAGGGGACACGGGUUCGAGCCCUGGUCUGGGAAGAUCCCAC